rnacentral:tRNA from 1 species
AGUUAUUUAGUAUAAUAAGUAUAUCUGACUUCCAAUUAGAUGGUUCUUUAUGGAAUAACUAA